ACGAUCACAUGAAUGGAUUUGGGUGUUGCCGUAACCGGCUCACCUUGAAAUGAAUUAGCUUUGCGCCCAUUAGCGUGCUCGGUGUGAUAAUUAUCAUUCGCCUUAGGCCGCUUCCAGUGACGCUGCUUCUAAUGGUCCCUUGUGGACAACAAAUCUAAAGCAUUGGCCUCAAAUCGGGUAGGACUACCCGCUGAACUUAA
rnacentral:misc_RNA from 1 species